rnacentral:rRNA from 1 species
GACAUAAUGCAACUAGCACAAUCUAAUAUGAUUCCGAAGUCCCACCAAGCAGAGUCAAGAAAAGCCCCGGGGAGGUUGAAGCAGACUGCCCGUACUAAAACUGACACAGGUAGGCGUGAUGAGUAUUCUCAGGCGCUCGAGAGAACGCUGGUAAAGGAACUCGGCAACAUGACCCCGUAACUUCGGGACAAGGGGUGCCCCUCACCUACGGGUGUGGGGGCCGCAGCGAAAAGGAUCUGGCGACUGUUUACUAAAAACACAGGUCUCUGCUAACGCGUAAGCGGACGUAUAGAGACUGACACCUGCCCGGUGCCGGUAAGUUAAGGAAGGGGGUUAACCGCAAGGUGAAGCCCGCAACCGAAGCUCCGGUAAACGGCGGCCGUAACUAUGACGGUCCUAAGGUAGCGAAGUUCCUUGUCGGGUAAGUUCCGACCUGCAUGAAUGGUGUAACGACCGGAUCACUGUCUCUACCAGCGACUCGGUGAAACUGUAAUUGUUGUGAAGAUGCAACAUACCCGCAGUUAGACGGAAAGACCCCGUGAACCUUUACUGCAGCUUAGUAUUGGGUUUAGGCCCAGCAUGUGUAGUGUAGCUGGGAGACUAUGAACGGUGCGUUCCGGCGCAUCGGGAGUCGCAAUGUGAAACACCAGCCUUGUUGUGCUUGAAUUCUAACCCCGUCCCGUGAAUCCGGGCGGAGGACAGUGCUAAGUGGGCAGUUUGACUGGGGCGGUCUCCUCCCAAAAAGUAACGGAGGAGCCCAAAGGUACCCUCAGGCCGGUCGGCAAUCGGCCUAAGAGCGCAAAGGUAUAAGGGUGCUUGACUGCGAGACCCAUAAGUCGAGCAGGUGCGAAAGCAGGGCUUAGUGAUCCGGCGGUGCUGGAUGGAAAGGCCGUCGCUCAACAGAUAAAAGGUACUCCGGGGAUAACAGGCUUAUCUCCCCUGAGCGUUCACAGCGGCGGGGAGGUUUGGCACCUCGAUGUCGGCUCAUCGCAUCCUGGGGGUGGAGAAGCUCCCAAGGGUUUGGCUGUUCGCCAAUGAAAGCGGUACGUGAGCUGGGUUUAGACCGUCGUGAGACAGGUCGGUCCCUAUCUGCUGCGGGCGCAGGAGACUUGCGGAGCUUUCUCCCUAGUACGAGAGGACUGGGAGGGACGUACCUCUGGUGUGCCAGUUGUCACGCCCGUGGCAUCGCUGGGUAGCUACGUACGGCCCGGAUAAACGCUGAAGGCAUCUAAGCGUGAAACCCCCUCCAAGAUCAGGUCUCCCGUCGCAAGACAUAGGCUCCUGGAAGAACACCAGGUCGAUAGGCUGGAUGUGUAAACACAGUAAUGUGCUUAGCUGACCAGUACUAACAGCCGACCGCUUGACCAC